AUUCAUCUUCAGGGGCAGGGUGCAAUUCCCGACCGGUGGUAACAGUCCACGAGCGUAAGCUGAGCUGGUGUAAUUCCAGUACCGACAGUACAGUCUGGCAUAAAGAAGAUGGGG
rnacentral:ncRNA from 2 species